rnacentral:rRNA from 1 species
GAUGAACGCUGGCGGCGUGCCUAAUACAUGCAAGUCGAGCGAACGGACGAGAAGCUUGCUUCUCUGAUGUUAGCGGCGGACGAGUGAGUAACACGUGGAUAACCUACCUAUAAGACUGGGAUAACUUCGGGAAACCGGAGCUAAUACCGGAUAAUAUUUUGAACCGCAGGGUUCAAAAGUAAAAGACGGUCUUGCUGUCACUUAUAGAUGGAUCCGCGCUGCAUUAGCUAGUUGGUAAGGUAACGGCUUACCAAGGCAACGAUGCAUAGCCGACCUGAGAGGGUGAUCGGCCACACUGGAACUGAGACACGGUCCAGACUCCUACGGGAGGCAGCAGUAGGGAAUCUUCCGCAAUGGGCGAAAGCCUGACGGAGCAACGCCGCGUGAGUGAUGAAGGUCUUCGGAUCGUAAAACUCUGUUAUUAGGGAAGAACAUAUGUGUAAGUAACUGUGCACAUCUUGACGGUACCUAAUCAGAAAGCCACGGCUAACUACGUG